rnacentral:rRNA from 1 species
CCCUUAGAUGUUCUGGGCCGCACGCGCGCUACACUGAUCGAGCCAGCGAGCCUGUCCCUCGCCGGUAGGUGCGGGUAAUCUUGUGAAACUCGAUCGUGCUGGGGAUAGACCCUUGCAAUUAUUGGUCUUCAACGAGGAAUUCCUAGUAAGCGCAAGUCAUCAGCUUGCGUUGAUUACGUCCCUGCCCUUUGUACACACCGCCCGUCGCUACUACCGAUUGAAUGGUUUAGUGAGAUCUUCGGAUUGGAGUCCUAGGUGACGGCGACGCCACCUUGGACACCCGAAAAGUUGAGCUAACUGAAUUAUUUAGAGGAAGUAAAAGUCGUAACA